CAGCUGAGCCUCAGAAGGUGCCAGAGCCUCUUCCCCAGGAGGGCCAGGAGCAGGACUUGGGGGCCCAUGCUGAGGCCCAGGGACGCACUGUGCCCAUCCGGUAACCUCCUUGGCGUGCUGGGUGGGGGCAGUUCAUGAGGGGACAUCCCAGGGUCAGGGCACAGAGGAGAGACUGCUCUCAGGGUGAGGGGUGGAGCCCUCGCCUCACCCGGGGCUGGGUCCCCUCUUUGUGCAUCCCCUAAAAGUCUGCUGUAGUGCGGGAGGGGGGGCAGAGCUACCCACACUCCAGGGGUGUAGGAGAAGAGCAGACACUCAUCCAGCUCCAUGACCACAGGAUGGAGGGUACAGCCUGGCCGGGAGCAGGAGCAGUGGACCUAUGGGACAUCCACAGCCAGGUGUUCAUGGAGACCACGCAUCGGACAUACGUGUACCAGGCCAGCGACAUGGGUGCCACAAGUAGGCGGGGGCUUAGUGGGUCAUGUCUGUGUGUGCUCCCAGUGCCCUGGACCGGGGGAGGGACGCUUGUGCAGAGGAACCUGAAGAGCCACCUGGCCUGUCCCAGUCUUGCUGGGGCGGGGUAGGUGUGGGGAGCUCUCUGCCCCUGUGUCCCCCCAGGGAGAGGUGAGGGCUGUCACCUGGGAGGGUUGAGGGGCUGAAGGUAGUGAACUGUUUGCUGGGGGCCACCUUCUCCAGCAGGCGUCGACAUGCUCUGCACACCCUGCCCUUGGACAGCUAGGAGAGACAGAGGCUCGUGGGAAGGAGGCACUUCCUGACCAUCAGGGGCCUGGGCAGAGUCAGGAGGGGGGCGCCCCCAUUAGGGAGGCAGGUGGGCUCUUGUUGCCCCAGGGCAUAUCACAAGGCUUGGGGGUAUCAGGACAGGCGUGGGUGGGUGGUCAAUGCUGGCCCACUAUAGGGGCGCAGUCUCUGACUGCAAGGCCCAGCUCCAAGACUCAAUGUGGGCUGAGGACACAGCCUGGACCUCUCUCCAUGGGCUCCCUCCUGCACCCCAGGGCCCCCAUCCAUGCAGGUCACCAUCGAAGACGUGCAGGCACAGAGGGGCAGCACCGCGCAGUUCCAAGCGGUCAUCGAGGGCAACCCGCAGCC
rnacentral:lncRNA from 1 species